rnacentral:rRNA from 1 species
GACGAACGCUGGCGGCGUGCUUAACACAUGCAAGUCGAACGGAAAGGCCCUGCUUUUGUGGGGUGCUCGAGUGGCGAACGGGUGAGUAACACGUGAGUAACCUGCCCUUGACUUUGGGAUAACUUCAGGAAACUGGGGCUAAUACCGGAUAGGAGCUCCUGCUGCAUGGUGGGGGUUGGAAAGUUUCGGCGGUUGGGGAUGGACUCGCGGCUUAUCAGCUUGUUGGUGGGGUAGUGGCUUACCAAGGCUUUGACGGGUAGCCGGCCUGAGAGGGUGACCGGCCACAUUGGGACUGCGAUACGGACCAGACUCCUACGGGAGGCAGCAGUGGGGAAUAUUGCACAAUGGGCGGAAGCCUGAUGUAGCAACGCCGCGUGCGGGAUGACGGCCUUCGGGUUGUAAACCGCUUUCGCCUGUGACGAAGCGUGAGUGACGGUAAUGGGUAAAGAAGCACCGGCUAACUACGUG